rnacentral:rRNA from 1 species
AACGCGAAGAACCUUACCCAGACUUGACAUGCAGUGGAAGUGAUCAGAAAUGAUCACGCCCUUCGGGGCCGCUGCACAGGUGCUGCAUGGCUGUCGUCAGCUCGUGCCGUGAGGUGUUGGGUUAAGUCCCGCAACGAGCGCAACCCUUAUCGUUAGUUGCCAACAGGUAAUGCUGGGAACUCUAGCGAGACUGCCUGGGUUAACCAGGAGGAAGGUGAGGAUGACGUCAAGUCCGCAUGGCCCUUAUGUCUGGGGCUACACACGUGCUACAAUGGUCGGUACAGAAGGCAGCGAAACCGCGAGGCGAAGCAAAUCCCGAAAGCCGGCCCCAGUUCAGAUUGUAGUCUGCAACUCGACUACAUGAAGAUGGAAUUGCUAGUAAUGGCGAGUCAGCAACAUCGCCGUGAAUACGUUCCCGGGCCUUGUACACACCGACUGUAC